AUAAUUGGAAGAAACCGACUGAAUUUAAGCAUAUUACUAAGUCGAGGACUAAAAAUCAAAAGAGAUUUCCCUAUUAGCGGCGAGCGAACAGGAAUAUGAUCAUAGCGCUAAUCCAACUGGAUAUUUGCGAACUAAUCAAACCUCCAAUUCAGCCACGGGAAAUCAAUUGAAUGUGAUGCCAUGGCGGAUGCAAGCUCCCCAACCGUGAAUGAAUUGCCGGUGAUUACUCAUAGAGUAGCGCUCCUUGAUAGUGGAGUGUGACAGGUGGUAAUCUUCACCGAAAUCUAAAUAUCAGCAGUAGACCGAUAGUAAACAAGUACCAUGAGGGAAAAUUGAAAAGCACUUCGAAAGGAGGCUUAAAAGACCUGAACUCAUAUACGAGGAAGCUUAUGUGUGUCGCAAAUAGUUGCUGAUCGUGCCUGGCACGCUCUCAUCUUUGACAUACAGAAGACCCGUCUUGAAACACGGACCGAGGAGUUGGUCUCAUUUGCAAGUAUAACGAUUAAAAUCGUGAUGCGUAGAGAAAUCAAUAUGUGUAAUCUUGACUGCACUGGCCGGGGAAACUCGUGUUUGAGCAGAUGUGAUCAGACCCGAAAGAUGGUGAUCUAUGCCUGGGUAGGGUGAAGCCAGGGGAAACUCUGGUGGAAGCUCUAAGCGAUACUGACGUGCAAAUCGUUCGUAAAAUCUAGGUAUAGGGGCGAAAGACUAAUCGAACCAUCUAGUAGCUGGUUCCCUCCGAAGUUUCCCUCAGGAUAGCUGGAAGCUAUUGAGUUGCAUCCGGUAAAGCGAAUGAUUAGAGGACUCGGGAGUCAUAGUAUUCUCGGCCUAUUCUCAAACUCAGAAUGGAUGUGCAUGUGUGCUUAUUAAUUUAGAACAUAUGACAAAUCAUGCUUCUUAGUGGGCCAUUUUUGGUAAGCAGAACUGGCGAUGAGGGAUGCUCCUAACGUGCGGCGAAGGUGCCAAAGGGUUGCUGAUCAGAUCCCACAAAAGGUGUUAUUUCAUUGAAACAGCAGGGCGGUGGUCAUGGAAGUCGAAAUCCGCUAAGGAGUGUGUAACAACUCACCUGCCGAAUGAAGCAGCCCUGAAAAUGGAUGGCGCUCAAGCAACUCACCGCUACCGCACCAGCAAUACAAUUCUAUUGCUGUGUAGGAGGGCGUGAAAAUAGCGUUGAAGAACAAUACGUGAGUUUGUUUGGAGCUGUUUUUAGUGCAGAUCUUGGUGUGAGUAGCAACUAGUCGUGUGGAAUACGUGACAACUGUCGUGGAUAAGGGUUCCGAGCAAACAGUAUUUGUCCUCGGGUCAGUCGGUCCUAAGGGGGAGUCUCAUUGGCUUUGAACAACACUUGUGUUGGCCCCAAAAGGGAAAAAGGUUAAAAUUCCUUUUCUUCAUCUCAAUGUAAAUGGCAACAUAAUAUCAAUUCACCUGUCAGGCGAUUCUCCUUGGAGCGUCUUCUCAGCUCUCUGAUAAUUGAAUGCUCACGAAUGGGAUUGACCCGCGACCGAGCUACACAAUUAAAUAGGUUUUCCUCACGGGAAAUUAGGUAGUAGUCGAAUGACCCGUGAAAAGUGGAUUGAAAUUAUUGAAAUGAACCCGUACCCUAAACCGCAUCAGGUCUCUCGGGUUAAUAGCCCCAAGUUUGAUAGGAGAAUGUGUGUGAGGGAAGUCGGCAAAUUAGAUCUGUAACUUUGGGAAAAAGGUUGGCUCUGGGAGUCAGUCCAUCAUGAUCCUACGGUGAUUGCUUGAACCUUACGGUUGUGGACAUAUUGACAACCCCAGAACUGGUGUUGACUAGAGGAAUCUGACUGUUUAAUUAAAACAAAGCAUUGCGAUAAGCCCCAAGGCUAUACACGCAAUGUGAUUUCUGCCCAGUGCUCUGAAUGUCAUUGUGAUGGAAUUCGUAUAAGCGCGGGUAAACGGCGGGAGUAACUAUGACUCUCUUAAGGUAGCCAAAUGCCUCGUCGUCUAAUUAAUGACGCGCAUGAAUGGAUCAACGAGAUUCCUACUGUCCCCACUCACCACCUAGCGAAACCACAGCCAAGGGAAUGGGCUUGGCAAAAUAAGCGGGGAAAGAAGACCCUGUUGAGCUUGACUCUAGUUUGAUUUUGUGGAGUGACUUAUGAGGCGUAGAAUACGUGGGAGCACUUGUGCGAGCUUGAAAUACCACGACUCUUAAUGUCGCUCUGCUUACCCGAUAAUAUGAAAACUGCAUUGCAGCAUGAAAUCUAAAGUCAUUUGAUGGUCGAUUCAUUGCGGGAACAGAAUCAGAUGGGGAGUUUGGCUGGGGCGGCACAUCUGCUAAACUGCAACGCAGAUGCCCUAAGGUUAACUCAAAGAGAACAGAAAUCUCUUGUAGACUGAAAGGGGAAAAGUUAGCUUGAUUCUGAUUUCCAGUAAUAAUAAGAACUGCGAAAGCAUGGCCUAUCGAUCCUUUAAGCCCAGGUUGAUUCUGGCUAGAGGUGACAGAAAAGUUACCACAGGGAUAACUGGCUUGUGGCAGCCAAGCGCUCAUAGCGACGUUGCUUUUUGAUCCUUCGAUGUCGGCUCUUCCUAUCAUUGAGACGCAGAAGUCGCAAAGUGUCGGAUUGUUCACCCGUUAAUAGGGAACGUGAGCUGGGUUUAGACCGUCGUGAGACAGGUUAGUUUUACCCUACUUAUAUACGCGUAGCGAGAGUAGAGCAACCUAGUACGAGAGGAACAGUUGCUCCAAGUCACUGGUAGAGUGGUUGGCUGAACAGCCAGUGCUGCUAAGCUACAUUUGCGGGAUAAUGGCUGAACGCCUCUAAGCCAAAAACCCAGCUUGAAGCUACGUUUGAAAAUACUUUUACCAAUUUAAUAUAUUGUGAAAGGAAAAGUGUUUCUUUAUAUGACUGACAGACGAUCAGAGUGCAAAUUGCAGUUGUAAUUCAGAAAGUAGACCUUGUGCUACGAUCUAUUGAAACGAACAAUUUGC
rnacentral:rRNA from 1 species